rnacentral:rRNA from 1 species
CGUUCUCGGGCCUUGUACACACCGCCCGUCACACCACGAAAGUGGGUAACACCCGAAGCCGGUGGCCCAACCCUUGUGGAGGGAGCCGUCGAAGGUGGGAUCCGCGAUUGGGGUG